rnacentral:rRNA from 1 species
UUGGCCUACGGGACGCAGCAGUGGGGGAUAUUGCACAAUGGGGGGAACCCUGAUGCAGCGACGCCGCGUGAGUGAAGAAGUAUCUCGGUACGUAAAGCUCUAUCAGCAGGGAAGAAAAAAAGUCUUUGGCUUUGGACGGUACCUGACUAAGAAGCCCCGGCUAACUACGUGCCAGCAGCCGCGGUAAUACGUAGGGGGCAAGCGUUAUCCGGAUUUACUGGGUGUAAAGGGAGCGUAGACGGCAGCGCACGUCUGGAGUGAAAUGCCGGGGCUCAACCCCGGACGUGCUUUGGAAACUGAGCAGC